rnacentral:rRNA from 1 species
GACGUAGGGCGCAAGCGUUGUCCGGAUUUAUUGGGCGUAAAGAGCUCGUAGGCGGUUUGUCGCGUCUGCUGUGAAAACCUAAGGCUCAACCUUGGGCUUGCAGUGGGUACGGGCAGACUAGAGUGCGGUAGGGGUGACUGGAAUUCCUGGUGUAGCGGUGGAAUGCGCAGAUAUCAGGAGGAACACCGAUGGCGAAGGCAGGUCACUGGGCCGCAACUGACGCUGAGGAGCGAAGGCAUGGGGAGCGAACAGG